GACGAACGCUGGCGGCGUGCUUAACACAUGCAAGUCGAACGGAAAGGCCCUGCUUUUGUGGGGUGCUCGAGUGGCGAACGGGUGAGUAACACGUGAGUAACCUGCCCUUGACUUUGGUAUAACUUCAGGAAACUGGGGCUAAUACCGGAUAGGAGCUCCUGCUGCAUGGUGGGGGUUGGAAAGUUUCGGCGGUUGGGGAUGGACUCGCGGCUUAUCAGCUUGUUGGUGGGGUAGUGGCUUACCAAGGCUUUGACGGGUAGCCGGCCUGAGAGGGUGACCGGCCACAUUGGGACUGAGAUACGGCACAGACUCCUACGGGAGGCAGCAGUGGGGAAUAUUGCACAAUGGGCGGAAGCCUGAUGCAGCAACGCCGCGUGCGGGAUGACGGCCUUCGGGUUGUAAACCGCUUUCGCCUGUGACGAAGAGUGAGUGACGGUAAUGGGUAAAGAAGCACCGGAUAACUACGUG
rnacentral:rRNA from 1 species